rnacentral:rRNA from 2 species
UUCCCCCAGUAACUGCGAGUGAAGAGGGAAGAGCUCAUCAUUGGAAUCUGGCAGUGUUGCACUGUCCGAGUUGUAGAUGAGGAGUAGUCCGUCUGGACUGCAUGGCGUCCAAGUACAAUAGGCCGUCAGUGGGACAUCAUAGAGGGUGACAAUCCCGUCCUUGACGCUAAUGUGCAAGUCUAUUACGAUGGCUAUCUCAGAGAGUCGAGCAGUUUGGGAUUUGCUGCUUAAACAUGGGAGGUAGAUUCCUUCUAAAGCUAAAUACAGGCGAGAGACCGAUAGAGAACAAGUACCGCAAGGGAAAGAUGAAAUAGCACUCUGUGAAGGGAGUCAAAAGGCGUGAAAUUGUUGCGAGAGAAGCGAUUCAAGUCAGCGUAGCUAGGCCCAUCAAGCGUCUUCGCUUUGGACUAGCUUUGCCAGCGGUCUUGUCCCUUAAAGAGACUUGACUUGUAAUAUGUCCAGCCUGGCGUGCACAGGCAGCCCCUUCUGGGGGCCAGUGGCAUGGCUGGUGGAAUGGCUUGCAAUCGACCCGUCUUGAAACACGGACCAAGGAGUCUAACAUGUAUGCGAGUAUAAGGGUGGCAAACCCGUAUGCGCAAUGAAAGUGAUUUUCGGUGAUUGAGAAUGGCCUGAUGACCAGACAAGCAAUACAUGUCCCUCGUACGGCCAUUGCCCAAGUUCCGUGGUAGAUCCCACGAACAUGGAGUUGGAGCAUACAUGCUAGGACCCGAAAGAUGGUGAACUAUGCCUGGACAAAGCGAAGCCAAAGGAAACUCUGGUGGAGGCUUGUAGCGAUUCUGACGUGCAAAUCGAUCGUCUGAUCUGGGUAUAGGGGCGAAAGACUAAUCG